rnacentral:rRNA from 1 species
CCUACGGGCGACAGCAGUGGGGAAUAUUGCACAAUGGGGGAAACUCUGAUGCAGCGACGCCGCGUGAGUGAAGAAGUAUUUCGGUCUGUAAAGCUCUAUCAGCAGGGAAGAAAAUGACGGUACCUGAUUAAGAAUCCCCGGCUAACUACGUGCCAGCAGCCGCGGUAGUACGUAGGGGGCAAGCGUUAUCCGGAUUUACUGGGGGUAAAGGGAGCGUAGACGGCAGCACAAGUCUGUAGUGAAAUGCCGGGGCUUAACCCCGGAACUGCUUUGGAAACGGUGCAGAGAGAGUGCAGGAGAGGUAAGUGGAAUUCCUAGUGGAGCGGUGAAAUGCGUAGAUAUUAGGAGGAACACCAGUGGCGAAGGCGGCUUACUGGACUGUAACUGACGUUGAGGCUCGAAAGCGUGGGGAGCAAACAGGAGUAGAUACCCUAGUAGUC